rnacentral:rRNA from 1 species
AAAUUGAAGAGUUUGAUCAUGGCUCAGAUUGAACGCUGGCGGCAGGCCUAACACAUGCAAGUCGAACGGUAACAGGAAACAGCUUGCUGUUUCGCUGACGAGUGGCGGACGGGUGAGUAAUGUCUGGGAAACUGCCUGAUGGAGGGGGAUAACUACUGGAAACGGUAGCUAAUACCGCAUAACGUCGCAAGACCAAAGAGGGGGACCUUCAGGCCUCUUGCCAUCGGAUGUGCCCAGAUGGGAUUAGCUUGUUGGUGGGGUAACGGCUCACC